rnacentral:rRNA from 1 species
UACGAAGGGGGCUAGCGUUGCUCGGAAUCACUGGGCGUAAAGCGCACGUAGGCGGCUUCUUAAGUCAGGGGUGAAAUCCUGGAGCUCAACUCCAGAACUGCCUUUGAUACUGAGGAGCUCGAGUCCGGAAGAGGUGAGUGGAACUGCGAGUGUAGAGGUGAAAUUCGUAGAUAUUCGCAAGAACACCAGUGGCGAAGGCGGCUCACUGGCCCGAUACUGACGCUGAGGCACGAAAGCGUGGGGAGCAAACAGG